CAGCAGCCGCGGGAAUACGUAGGUGGCAAGCGUUGUCCGGAAUUAUUGGGCGUAAAGGGCUCGCAGGCGGUUUCUUAAGUCUGAUGUGAAAGCCCCUGGCUCAACCGGGGAGGGUCAUUGGAAACUGGGAAACUUGAGUGCAGAAGAGGAGAGUGGAAUUCCACGUGUAGCGGUGAAAUGCGUAGAGAUGUGGAGGAACACCAGUGGCGAAGGCGACUCUCUGGUCUGUAACUGACGCUGAGGAGCGAAAGCGUGGGGAGCGAACAGGAUUAGAUACCCGUGUAGUCCCUGUCUCUUAUAA
rnacentral:rRNA from 1 species